rnacentral:lncRNA from 10 species
UAUUUAAAAUUACUUGUCAGGAAAAGGAGCUACAGAGAAGAGGGGCUGUGACAGGGGAAGGCAAACAUCCGCACCGUUCAAUAAUUCAGCGCAGAGCCGGUCUUGGCUGCUAAGUUACCACCACAAGGAGCAUUUUUAAAGUCAAACCGAAUUUCCAUGAGAAGUCAUGCCUGAGCAAGCUGGAUCGUUGCCAAAAGACAAGAGAAGACUCCAGACCUUUCUGUAAACAGGCCCUGAGAGAUACGGGGUACUGCAUGAUAAAGCUGUCAGUCUGGUCGCAGCAGCCUGGCAUGUGACUCAUUUGCAUAUGUCACUUCCUUUAGCGUAAUCCAGUCCAUGGGCCUCUAACUUCCAAUCCUGUGGGCAAAUAAAGCUGUCCAGCACAACCUGUGACGAUCAGAUUCAGGCUGUAUUUAGUGGGGGAGGGAUCUGGCCUCAUAUCCUUCAUCUUUAUGCUGCUCCACUCCAGCUCACAGCCCCUCCAACUGGAUGGAGCUCUUCGAAGGGAGGGGCAUUUCAGAGGAGGGUCUCAGGGAUAGCCCCUUUGUGGGGCUGGGCCACCAGGUUGGGGAGAGUGGAGCUGCUGGAACUCUGGAGGGACUGGCUGAGCCAGCUUUCCCAGUGCACCCCUCUGGGAGGGCAGGCUCUCGGUGUAGGCUGCCCAUCUCCUCGCUCUCCUCUGGCACUGCUCCUAUGCCCCCUUGGUUAGCCUGGGAGCCCAUACUACCCAGACUUGGGGUCAAUAAGCAGAGGACCUGUAAGGAGUCCUUGAUGGGAUGUACAGCACUGCCCAACCCUGCACAAGAUAACCCAUGGGCUCCUGAGAGCAGAGAUUGUGACUUACUCAUCUUUGAUGUAGCCAAGUUCUAACAAACCUAAAUGUGCAGCCAUUUGUAAGAGAGGAUCAUGGAAUGAAUACGGGCAUUGAGUCAAGCAGUCUGUGUUCCACUGGCGGUGUGACCUGGGGCAGGCCAUUUCACCUCACUGAGCCUUAGUUUCCUCACCUGUAAAAUGUGAAAAAUAUCACCUUCCUUACCAGGCUUUUCUGAGGAUUUAAUGACAUCAUGUUCAGUGCCCAGUAUGGGUGGAUAAUACCCAGGAGUUUCCUCCUCUUCUCCUCCUAAGUUGACUUGAUGCCCCCCGCUGAAGAUCAUGGCUGAACUGGCUCAAUUCGGAUCCAGGACUCCUGGCUUUGUCUCUUCCCUAGUUGCCCACCACACCCAUGGACACCCUUAGGUAGUUUAUCCUUUUGGGACAACUGGAUUUAUUAGAAAAGGGUAUUCUGGGGUGGAAUAAGGCCCUUUUCAGUCCCCAUGGAGCCUUUUUGGAAGAUGAAGUUCUCAAACCCACAAGAGAAUUCAUAAGACGAGCACACCACCCACAGUUAGGUUUCCCUCUCAAGUGCUUUAUCUCCACGUGGGGCAAAUAGCUCUUUGUCUGCAUAUGUUAUUGGAGCUUUUGGAGUCCAGCCUUCAGAAGAGCUCUAAUUUUUGGAUUCAUAUCAGUUUAUUAGAGAAGCCUAGUUCUAAGGAUUAGCAAAUGGGUAGGUGCUCAGCCAGCCCAGAACAAGCAGAGCCAUGACAGAAGUUUCUGGAAUCUCACAGAGUCGGUGUCUUCAUGGACUCAGGGGGCCUAAAUCCAAUAGCCUGGAUUUGUCACUUUCCCUUAUUCCCUUAUCAAACUCUUCCCUUUUGGACAUCAGAGAAGGAAAGUACUUCCUGUAAGGGGGCAAUUUGCAAAGCUUCAUGGAAGUGGCAUUUGAGUGUGGCCUUAAAGGAUGUGUAGGAUUGGGAACCAUAGAUAUUUAGAGGAAGGCAUUCCUGGCAGAAGGAACAGCAGCAAAACACAGAAGUGGAAAUUAGUAGCAGCAUUAAUGGAGAAUAAUUUGGGGAAUAAGAUAUACAAAUGGAAUAAUAAAAAUAGCAUUAAUUAAACAUUGUGGGAGUCAUUCUGUAAGAUGGCCCCUGGUGAUCUCCGCCUCCUGUUCUUCAUGCCUUAUGUAACCGCUCUCCUUGAGUGUGGUCUGGAAUUACUGACUCACUUUCAAUGCACAGAAUGUAUCAGAAGUAAUGGGAUAUUCCUUCUGAGAAUAGAUUAUAAAAAAAGAGUGUGGCUUCCUUCCUGGCAUUUUCGCUUGCUCUCUCUUUAAUUGUGUGCUCCAAACAAAGCCAGCUGCCAUGUUGUGAGGAAGCCCUGUGUGGAGGACCACAUGGUGAGGA